rnacentral:rRNA from 4 species
UUGACCUCGGAUCAGGUAGGACUACCCGCUGAACUUAAGCAU